UGUGUCAGUGACGAUAAAUGUAAUCCCAACUCAUUAUGAGACCUUCACCAUUGCAAGGUCCGAGAAUAGAAUUUUCCACAUUUUUUUGAGCCACUUU